rnacentral:rRNA from 1 species
UACGGGGGGGGCAAGCGUUGUUCGGAAUUACUGGGCGUAAAGGGCUCGUAGGCGGCCAACUCAGUCGGAUGUGAAAUCCCCAGGCUUAACCUGGGAACUGCAUCCGAUACUGGAUGGCUUGAAUCCGGGAGAGGGAUGCAGAAUUCCAGGUGUAGCGGUGAAAUGCGUAGAUAUCUGGAGGAAUACCGGUGGCGAAGGCGGCAUCCUGGACCGGCAUUGACGCUGAGUGAGCGAAAGCCAGGGGAGCAAACGGG